UACGGGGGGGGCAAGCGUUGUUCGGAAUUACUGGGCGUAAAGGGUUCGUAGGUGGCUGAUUAAGUCAGACGUGAAAUCCCUCGGCUCAACCGGGGAACUGCGUCUGAGACUGAUGAGCUCGAGUGCAGGAGAGGAACGCGGAAUUCCAGGUGUAGCGGUGAAAUGCGUAGAUAUCUGGAGGAACACCGGUGGCGAAGGCGGCGUUCUGGACUGCAACUGACACUGAGGAACGAAAGCCAGGGGAGCAAACGGG
rnacentral:rRNA from 1 species